AUGAAUCAUUUACUCAGAGGAAUGUGGGUGAAGCUCAUGACAUCAUCAGUGAAGUGUAUCUAAUCGAGUGAUGAUGAUGUCAUGCUGCUGUUAAUGAAACACAAUCAGGAGACUCUUAUUAUACAACACAACAGCUGUAACGACAACUUUUUAAUUUACAGAAACUAGGAGUGUCUAAAUAAUAAAACUUUUACAUUUUUUUAUAAUAAUUAUUUUAAAAUUAUAUAUACAUCACUUUUAUCAUUCGAAUAAUUCAAUUUUAAGCAUCUGAACACUAGUUAACUGCUGGUUUAAGUGUCUGAACACUAGUUAACUGCCGGUUUAAGCGUCUGAACACUAGUUAACUGCAGGUUUAAGCGUCUGAACACUAGUUAACUACUGGUUUAGGUGUCUGAACACUAGUUAACUACUGGUUUAAGUGUCUGAACACUAGUUAACCACUGGUUUAAGUGUCUGAACACUAGUUAACUACUGGUUUAAGUGUCUGAACACUAGUUAACUACUGGUUUAAGUGUCUGAACACUAGUUAACCACUGGUUUAAGUGUCUGAACACUAGUUAACUACUGGUUUAAGUGUCUGAACACUAGUUAACAUCUGGUUUAAGUGUCUGAACACUAGUUAACAUCUGGUUUAGGCAUCUGAACACUAGUUAACAUCUGGUUUAAGUGUCUGAACACUAGUUAACAUCUGGUUUAAGUGUCUGAACACUAGUUAACCACUGGUUUAGGCAUCUGAACACUAGUUAACCACUGGUUUAAGUGUCUGAACACUAGUUAACAUCUGGUUUAAGUGUCUGAACACUAGUUAACCACUGGUUUAGGCAUCUGAACACUAGUUAACCACUGGUUUAAGUGUCUGAACACUAGUUAACCACUGGUUUAGGCAUCUGAACACUAGUUAACCACUGGUUUAAGUGUCUGAACACUAGUUAACAUCUGGUUUAAGUGUCUGAACACUAGUUAACCACUGGUUUAGGCGUCUGAACACUAGUUAACACUGGUUUAGGUGUCUGAACACUAGUUAACCACUGGUUUAAGUGUCUGAACACUAGUUAACUACUGGUUUAGGUGUCUGAACACUAGUUAACUACUGGUUUAAGUGUCUGAACACUAGUUAACAUCUGGUUUAAGUGUCUGAACACUAGUUAACAUCUGGUUUAAGCAUCUGAACACUAGUUAACCACUGGUUUAAGUGUCUGAACACUAGUUAACUACUGGUUUAGGUGUCUGAACACUAGUUAACUACUGGUUUAAGUGUCUGAACACUAGUUAACAUCUGGUUUAAGUGUCUGAACACUAGUUAACAUCUGGUUUAAGCAUCUGAACACUAGUUAACAUCUGGUUUAGACGUCUGAACACUAGUUAACAUCUGGUUUAGGCGUCUGAACACUAGUUAACAUCUGGUUUAAGUGUCUGAACACUAGUUAACAUCUGGUUUAAGUGUCUGAACACUAGUUAAGUUCUGGUUUAAGUGUCUGAACACUAGUUAAGUUCUGGUUUAAGUGUCUGAACACUAGUUAACUUCUGGUUUAAGCGUCUGAACACUAGUUAACUACUGGUUUAAGUGUCUGAACACUAGUUAACUACUGGUUUAAGCGUCUGAACACUAGUUAACUACUGGUUCAGAGUAAAAACAUUCUGUCUCAGCUUCCAACUCAAGUUUUUAUAACAGUAUUUUGUCUGCGUAACACAAACAUUCUGCUCAGAUCAGACCUGUUUUACUCUCAUUGAAGAGGCUGAAAGCUUGUGUGUGUGUGUGUGUUUGUGUGUGUGUGUGUGUGUGUGUGUGUGUAAAAGAGAGAGAUGACCAUUUUUCAAAUAGCAGCUUUUCAAGAAUGUUUUGAUUUUUAAUUUCUCUGUUUUAUAUUUUUAUAAUAAAGAUUGUGAAAAUGGC